rnacentral:rRNA from 1 species
AACGAACGCUGGCGGCAGGCUUAACACAUGCAAGUCGAACGCUCGUAGCAAUACGGGAGUGGCGGACGGGUGAGUAACGCGUGGGAACGUGCCCUGAGGUACGGAAUAACUGAGGGAAACUUCAGCUAAUACCGUAUGAGCCCCGAGAGGGGGAAAGAUUUAUCGCCUUGGGAGCGGCCCGCGUCGGAUUAGCUAGUUGGUGGGGUAACGGCCUACCAAGGCUUCGAUCCGUAGCUGGUCUGAGAGGACGAUCAGCCACACUGGGACUGAGACACGGCCCAGACUCCUACGGGAGGCAGCAGUGGGGAAUCUUACGCAAUGGGGGCAACCCUGACGCAGCCAUGCCGCGUGAACGAUGAAGGCCUUAGGGUUGUAAAGCUCUUUUACCCGUGACGAUGAUGACGGUAACGGGGGAAUAAGCUCCGGCUAACUUCGUG